GGCCUUGGCUUCCUGCUACACACUGAUGGCAGACUCUUGUCUCACAAAAUGACUUUUCCCAGUCUCUAUCAUUUCUUCUGUGCUGUGCCCUUCAGACUGGAGUUCCUAGUGUCCAGCCUCCACGGGAGAAGCCACAGAGCAACGCCAGGCUCAUGUUUUGAAUGUUUGGCUCCCCGUUGGUGGCUCUGACUUACGAGGCUGUGGAACCCCCUUUAAAGUGAUAAAGCCCUUCUGGCAGAGGUAGGCCACUAAGGAUGGACCUUUGAAGGUUAUAGCUGACUCCUCCUCUCUGGUCCUGCUUCCUGGGUCUUCAGGAUGUAAGGCGCAUCCACCACGCAUCCCCGCUGCCAUGAACCCCACUCUGCCUUUCUCACCAUGAGCCAAGAUAAAUCAGUCCAUUAUAAGUUCCAGGCUUUCUGUUAUAGCCAUGCAAAAGAAAAUAACACAGGUAGGUUAAGCUAAUGUCACUGGAUAUUAAUGAAACCAAAUGGCCAGACUCUUACAAAUAUCAUUUCUUAUAUUUCAAGGCAUCACAGCCUGGCUUCUUCAUCUUUGUUAUAUUUCUGGAUUAGUUUAUACCAUUUGAAAACAUUUUUGAAUAUUCAAAACACAGCUUUUUCUGGCCUCAGCCUGAGUCUUGGGCUUGGGAUAGUCUGGGCAGCCGUGGAGAACAUGAGUUUUAAGUCUGGAGAGGAGAGUUCCAAGGGUGGGGGUCCUCCUGGUGAAACUCAAGGCUGUGGCAAGAACUUAUCUUUGAUUGCCCACGUGAACUUCACAUAGCAGCUUCUCACCAAUAGCCCACUUAGCCUGGGCCUGCAUGGGGGUCAGGUGGGGUGGGGGGUAAGGUGGGGAAAGUUGGGGUGGGGGCAGGGAUGUGACAGGGGCUGGGGGAUAGGACACACACACACACUCUCUCACACACCAUGACAGUGACAGUGCACUCCAUCAACAACAGGCUGGAGGUUGGUGCUAGCUCUGGGUGAGGGAAGCCCUAAGCUGAUGUGUGUGGCAACUGAGGCAUUAGAUUAGUAGAGAGAAAGAAGGCAAGAUGGCUCACUGUAAGUGUCAAAGCACUUACAGCUAAGCUGAUCGUACAGUAGAAGAAGAUUGGUCCUAAAGUUGUCGUCUCACCUUCACAUGUCUGUUGUGGGAUGUUCAUGCACACACAUGCAGAGAAGUUAAAAAACAAACCACAAAAUUAGAGGAUUAUUAUUGUUGUUGUUGUUAUUAUUAUUUGUGGGAUAUGAUGGUUUGUAUACGCUUGCCCCAGGGAGUGGCACUAUUAUAAGGUGUGGCCCUGUUGGAGUAGGUGUGGCCUUCUUGGAGUAGGUGUGUCACUGUGGGCUUUAAGACUAGCUGCCUGGAAGCCAGUCUUCUGCUUAGCAGCCUUCAGAUGAAGAUGUAGAAGUCUCAGCUCCUCUUGCACCAUGCCUGCCUGGAUGCUGCCAUGCUCCCAUCUUGAUGAUACUGGACUAAAGCUCUGAACCUGUAAGCCAGCCCCAGUUAAAUGUUGUCCUUAUAAGAGUUGCCUUGGUCAUGGUGUCUGCUCACAACAGUAAAAUCCUAACUAAAACAAAGGAGAAAUGCUUUGAACAGGAAACACACACACACACACACACACACACACAGAGAGAGAGAGAGAGAGAGAGAGAGAAACGCAAGGUGGAGUCACUUUCAGGACCUGGAUCUGUAGAUCUGUGGGUCUGGAACAAUCAGUGGAUACUCCAGGAACGAAGAUCCCAAAGCGUGAGCUGUCCAGGAUUGUAAGGAAGGAGGGGAUAUUGCUGCGCAGAUACAAGAUCUGCACUUGAUGAUUUGUGUGGACGCUUAUCCACCAGAUGUCAGCCGAGUGUCUCGUUUGAACAAGUUCAAAAUAUCGUCUUACAUCUGAGAAAGAGGAGGAAAGGAGAGUCUAUUCCCAAGCAUCCUACCCCUCGAGGGACUCCACAUCCCCAACCGGUACAAGCAGAAGAAGUGGAGUGAGUCACUGGUCAUGCAUUCUGUUAUCAUCCAUGUUUGCAUCUGUUUUUCUUGCAAGCCUCCACUUCCCCUCUAAAUCAGUCAUUUAUAUCCUCAUCUAAAUUAUGUAAAAACACUGUUGUAAGUUAAAGACUGCUUGCAAGAGCAAAAGCCAGCUUCACCUACGCACCCUGCUCUCGAUUCUAUUUCUUGGAUGGGCCAUGCUCAUUUCUUGUCAUAUGUGUUUGAGUACACUAGCCAGGGUUAGUGGUGCUUGCUGCUGUAACCAAAAACAUCCGAAUAAUGGCAGCCCAGUGGCAGGGUCUUGGUUCUCCUCAGAGAAGGCCUGCAGGAAGAGAGUGGUUGCUGGCCACUCAUGUGGGGACUCAGUCAUGCUUCUGUUGAUGUUCUGUGUACUAUCUUCAUCCCGGGCUUUCAAGUCUUCUCUGGAAGAAGAGGAAACGGGGUUGGUGUGCUGAAAUGUGGGAGAGGCUUUAUGCUGGAGCAAGAUGCACUCUCAGUUCUCUCAGCUCUCACAGACCGCAAGAAAGAGCCCAGCACAAAAGGGCAGGCUAUUGCGGAGAACUAGGAGCAUGGAGUUUAGCUGAGGUCCCAAGAAGGGCCAGAGAAGCACAGCGCAUUGCCCUUACCACUGUGGGACUGAAGACCUGGGAUAUCUUUCACAAGGCAUUUGAAGAGCCAAAUGUCAGAUAAGUAGAUCUGCAGACCCUGUGUGCUGAAGCCGUGGGUUCUAGACAUCCCCUGGAGGGUUUCCUAAUGUGUUAGCUGUCAUGCUUCCCCAGGUCUCAGCAGGCAAGCGGCCUCUGGCUAAGUGCCACUAAACCUCUCCUAAGAUGUUCUUUUCUUAGAUCUGGGUCUGAGUGAGUGGGACCCCAUCCUCUAGUAACGUCACCAUUACUGCCAAAGGGAGGGCUGGGGCGGGGGAAAGAGCAGAUGGAUCUCCUGUGCCCAUCCCUGCUCCGGCCUGACCGCUGCUGUGCUCACCCCCUCCCUGCCUGACCGCUGCUCUUUCACCACAUUUUUUAAAACAUCCCUCUGAGUGUCAGGCACCAGAGGCACCUUGGGAGCCUCGCUGGGCUGCAGCGCAGGGAGCAUCGCUGGGCAGCCGGCACGCGCUAACUGGAUAUGCUCAGGUCUGUCUGGAUCGCCUCUGAAACAUUACUAACUUCAGAUCUUGAUUUUUUUCCUUAGAAGUGAAGCCAAGUUAUGAAGCCAGCAUUCCUGUCAAUCCUAAUCCCCGACUCCAUCUUCAUCCAUGGAUUGUCCAAGACACGGUGGUGGCACUGGCUGGAUCCUUGUGAGGAUUGCAUGACACCUCAAUGGUGGGAGCAGAUAGCAAGGAGGAGAAAUGAUGAGGUAAGGCUGGAAGCUGGAUGUGAGCCGGUGAGACCGGAAGCUGGAUAUGAGAUGGUGAGACCGGAAGCUGCAUGCGGUCAGGUAGGGGAGCAGGAUUGCCCUCUAUUGUGGUAAGAGCCACUUACGGUCCCCUCCCCCCACCAGUGCUACUUCCCAUUGUAUUCCAUGUCCUACACAUGAUCUUUGACAAGAUCCUAGGGCUUGUCAAACCACCAGUACCCAACAUAUGAGCCCUUGGGGAGGAUGCUCAGAUCCUAUCCAAACCACGGCCCGUGCUCUCCACUUGCAUCUCGCUCUUGGAACAGCAGCCCUUCUCUUCAGCCCCUUCAGCCAUCUCAUUCCUUCAAUCUCCUUUACUGUCUGCUUGUUUCCUUGAGAGCUCACAUUGCAGCUCACUCUUCCAGGGACCAGAGUCUUCCCCGGCGAUGCUAAAUUUGGACUCUACUGCUCUGCCUUCGUAUCUCUGUGAAUAAGUCGUGUGAUUUUUUUUUGUCUCAAUCUUUCAAAAGGCUUUGCAAUAAUGAUUCAACUCAGUGUAUGUGGUAUCAAUGGAGCAUACAAACUCACCAUGGAGUUCACGCGUGUCCAAGCAAUUAGGAGGCUAACCACCCUGUGAAAAACACAUAUCCCAGAGGCAACGAAAUUAGCAUCUAGGCGGCAGCAUCUUUAUAAUGAAGAUUUAAUCUGAUCUUUUCGAAGACGAUAUAAGCAGUCUGCACACUUCUUAAGGAAGUACCAGUGUUCCUUUAUAAGAUGGCUGCAAAUCUGUUCUAAAAUAGUGUCUGCUACUUCAGUUAAAGUUCAAGGAAAAUUGUCCUUAAAAAGAAAACAAAUUGAAUACCAUAAGAUACAGGUAAUUUAUUAGACUUAAAAAAAAUCUCAUUAUUUUUUUUUUUUAAAAAGUGUGGAGAUGGGUACUUGGCCUGUGUAUGUCUGCGCACCAUGUGUAUAGUCCCUGCUGAGCCAGAGGAGAACAUGGCUCCUCUGGAACUGGAGUUAGAGAUGGUUGUGAGCUGCCACAUGGGUGUUGGGAAUAGAAUCUGGGUCGUCUGCAAACACGGCCAGCACUUUCAACUGCUUAGUUAUCUCUCCGGCCCCCUUCUGAUUCUUAAUUGCUAUAUAGUUGCAACAUAAUAAAAGAAUUCUAUCUGUCAUGAGUAUUGACAAAGCUGUAACAUGGCUUGAACACAGAUACCUAAGACAUCACAGGAAGAAGUCAGUUUUGACUUAAGGAGUCCUGACUGGAAGAGGCAACCUUCUAGUGAACUGUUCCUCUGGGCAGUGUUGGGCCUUAUUCGUCUGGAUACUGAGGCCUAGUGGGGAAGCCUGAGUCUUUGCUCGAGUUUAGAGACCUGUCUUGUUCACUUCCAUACUGGAGUGGCUCAGCACAACCUACUUAAGCCUGCCUUUGCCUAGCUACCACUGAUGUAGAAUAACUUUAUUGGCCCUGUCAGUCACCCCAUACCCUCCAUCACCCUUCCCCGGCCCCUACCUCAUCUCACCUCACCAAAAAUCCCCACCUCCUUCCUCAACCCUAUAUAAACAAAAGACUGAUGCAAUAAAAUGAGUUCCUGCUUUGAUAGACUCCCAGCCCCUGGCAUGUUUGUUUUGGGCCACUCAGCCUUGGAGGGACUAGGCUAGACUGGGUUCUCUCCUCUCACCUGGACUCGCUAGCAGAUAGCUGACAGGGCUGGACAUAGGGCUCAGUGGGAGAGUGCUAAUCUAGUAUGAUAAAACUUUGAGUACAGCUUUCAUCAACACGUGUACAUGCAUGCACAUACGCACACAUUCACACACACAUUCACACACAUGCAUGCAUACAUUCACACAUUUGCAUACACGUGUGUGCAUACACAUUACAAAGAAACAUGUUAGGUCAGAUAAGCAAUUUAAAGUUGGAGACAUGCUAAACACAUGACUACAAACAUACAUUGCAUCUCAAUGUGUUUUAGGUAGAGGCUUCUCCUCCAGCCUAUAGAAUAAUACACACACGGACAGUACCAUUAUCUUACCUUAGUAUUCGGCUGGUUUUGAAAAGCAAUAAACACCAGUCCUGUAUUUUACCUUUUGUGAGAGUUUGGAUGAAUAUGGCCCCAUAGGUCUGUAGGGAGUAGCACCAUUAGGAGGUAUGGUGCUGUUGGUGUUGGUGUGGCCUUGUUGGAGGAAAUGUGUCACUUGGGGUAGGCUUCGAGGGUUAAGGAGCUCAAGCCAGGCCCAGUGACUGACUGUCUUUUGCUGCUGCCUAUGGAUCCAGAUGUAGAACUCUCAGCUACCUCUCCAGCACCAUGUCUGCCUGUGUACCACCAUGCUUCUGACCAUGACCGUAAUAGACUAAACCUCUGAACCAUAAGCCAACCUCAGUUAAGUAUUUUCCUUUAUAAGAGUUGACAUGGUUAUGGUGUCUAUUCACCGCAAUGAACCCCUAACUAAGCCACCUUUCAAGAAAAGGCAUUUCUACAACUAUUUAUGUGCAGACAAGCCCAGACACAAUCAACUAGCUUUCUUUCUUCUUAACAGUCUUUUCCCUAGAGCUUCUGAAAUCUUUGCAUUUAAAAACCAGUUAACCAAGACAGGAGAGAGAAGCCCAUGGAAACUACCCAGUGUCUUAAACGCGUUCUCGCGACCGGCCAGGAAGAACGCAGCAAACCAGAAUCUUCUGCGGCAAAAGCUUUAUUGCUUACAUCUUCAGGAGCCAGAGAGCAAGAGCCAGAGCAAGAGUCAGAGCAAGAGAGAGAAAGAAAGCAAGAAAAAGAACAAGAACAAGAAAGCAAGAGAAGAGAGAGAAAAAGCAAGAACAAGAGAGAGAAAAAGCAUGAGCAAGAGAGAGAAAAAACAUGGCAAAACCCCGUCCCUUUUAAGGAGAAUUAUCCUCCGCCUAGGACGUAUUACU
rnacentral:lncRNA from 1 species